UACGUAGGGUGCAAGCGUUAAUCGGAAUUACUGGGCGUAAAGCGUGCGCAGGUGGUUGUGUAAGCCAGAUGUGAAAUCCCCGGGCUUAACCUGGGAAUGGCAUUUGGGACUGCACGGCUAGAGUGUGGCAGAGGGGGUGGAAUUCCGCGUGUAGCAGUGAAAUGCGUAGAGAUGCGGAGGAACACCGAUGGCGAAGGCAGCCCCCUGGGUUAACACUGACACUCAUGCACGAAAGCGUGGGGAGCAAACAGG
rnacentral:rRNA from 1 species